GUUGGGUGUGGUGGUGCACACCUGUAAUCCUAGCGUCUUGGGAGGCUGAGGCAAGAGGAUCGUAAGUUUAAAACCAUCCUCAGCAAAACCGAGAGACGAAGCAACUCAGUGAGACCCUGUCUCCA
rnacentral:sRNA from 1 species